rnacentral:RNase_P_RNA from 1 species
AAGGGUGAAAGGGUGCGGUAAGAGCGCACCGCGCGGCUGGUAACAGUUCGUGGCACGGUAAACUCCACCCGGAGCAAGAUCAAAUAGGCCCCCUUUGGCGCGGCCCGCGUUGGGGGCGGGUAGAUUGCUUGAGGCUUAAGGCGACUUAAGUCCUAGAGGAAUGAUUGUCACUCUGGCAACAGAGCACAGAACCCGGCUUAAUGGCCGGCUCACACC